rfam:Selaginella moellendorffii unplaced genomic scaffold SELMOscaffold_7, whole genome shotgun sequence.
GCAGGACUAGCUCAGAAGGUUAGAGCGUGUGGCUGUUAACCACAAGGUCAGAGGUUCGAAUCCUCUGUCCAGCG